rnacentral:rRNA from 1 species
AUUGAACGCUGGCGGCAUGCCUUACACAUGCAAGUCGAACGGUAAUGGGCCUUCGGGUGCCGACGAGUGGCGAACGGGUGAGUAAUGUAUCGGAACGUGCCUUUCAGUGGGGGAUAACGUAGCGAAAGUUACGCUAAUACCGCAUAUUCUGUGAGCAGGAAAGCAGGGGAUCGCAAGACCUUGCGCUGAUUGAGCGGCCGAUAUCAGAUUAGCUAGUUGGUGAGGUAAAGGCUCACCAAGGCGACGAUCUGUAGCGGGUCUGAGAGGAUGAUCCGUCACAAUGGAACUGGGACACGGUCCAGACUCCUACGGGAGGCAGCAGUGGGGAAUUUUGGACAAUGGGGGCAACCCUGAUCCAGCCAUGCCGCGUGAGUGAAGAAGGCCUUCGGGUUGUAAAGCUCUUUCGGCCGGGAAGAAAUCGUAUCAGCUAAUACCUGGUGCGGAUGACGGUGCCGGCAUAAGAAGCACCGGCUAACUACGUGCCAGCCGCCGCCGUAAAAC